CUGUCUGUCUGUCUGUGUAGUCACUUCUUCCAUAAGGCAUGUGUUGAGCCAUGGCUUAUGGAUCACAGGACCUGCCCGGUGUAUGUGUGACAUCCUCAAAUCCCUCAGAGUAGAGCACUGAGUACUUUCACACACACUGUGACUCAGUCUCCAGCAUACACCCCAACUCCGAGUCUCUCACACAGCGAUGCUGCCUUUUCUGGAUAUGAAUCUCUGCAUGCAACAGAGCAGCUGGGUCCUGCUGACCACACACAUGAAGCGUGUAUGAAGCAGUGCUGCACGGAGCAGAUGACGGAAUGUCUGGACUGGAUUAUGGCUGAAUGUAAGAAUUUGUAUUCAAAAUUUCUGCAGAGU